AUGGCAACAAAUGAUCAUUUGUCUGUUUUGCAGAAGAAGAAAUGUAAUCGCAAUAGGGCUUCACAGGAACGCCUGACUUCAUUGACCGAGAGAUUUACCGACAAUCAGAAGGGAGCUGCUGUUGAGAUGGGUAUGCAGGCUCUGAUGGAUGUCCGGUGCAAGAAUCUAGUGAAUCCUGUAUGCGACUGGCUUGGUGAGAUUUACGACUCCGCCUCCAGGGAAUUUGUGAUUCCGGGACGUGGAAGACUGCCGUUAGACGAGGAAUCCGUGUUUUGCACUUUGGGUGUGCCCCGUGGAGAAAUCAAAGUCCUGUAUGAGGUCAACAAUAAGAUUGAGGAAACGUUGUUUCCCUGUUUGUUUCCUGGGUUGGCAUCCAAGCCGAACACGACUUUCCUAGAAGAUUCGCUGCAGGCCAUGACAACCCAUGGCGAGGUUUUUAAGAUGAAGCUACUCAUGUACCUCAUCUCAGCUGUUUUCGCGCUGACCACUUCUCUUCGCCCAAGCAACAAAUGCUUCCCCAUCCUGGCGAAACUGAAAGAUGUGAAGAACAUGAAUUGGUGUAAGUUUAUUGCUGACUUCCUGCAUGAUGCAUUCUCAAACAAGAUGUACCAGAAGGGUUGUCGACUGCAUUUAAUGCUCAUGUACGUCGACUGUCUUGAUCUGUCCACCGUCGACUUCACUGGGACAGGAGGCCCGCCGCCUACACACAAGUUUGUUGUUUCUGCGUGGACUUACAAUGCUGUCAAGGCUGUGCUUGCUGCAGACAGGGUAACUGAUACCAAAUAUGGGAAACUGCAGCUGAUGGGCAAGCAUGCUAUAGACUACAACGUGUUUGGGGGCCUCAAAACUUUGGAAAGUGGAUGGAUGUGCACUCAGCUCCGUCUUGUCCUACUGACUGACUCUAACAUGGUUGGUUAUUGCUGCUUCUUGUUUCGUGCACAGGUGAGGGCACCUGUUGAGCAUCUAAUUGGGCAGUUUGAAUCCGGAAUGAUCAGCUUGCUCGGGAAGUUGGUUGAGGGUUGGACAUCCCUUAAUGGCUCUAACAGAGACGCGCUUGCUGACACACAAGAUGAACUAGAUGGAGAUGCUGCUCUCAACAAGGACGAUGACGAUGACAUGGAGAACGUGCAGCACGACACCGAUGAUGAUGAACAUGUUGAUGUUCAUGCAGGUGGUAAGAAGGGGAAGGCUGCACCAGAUGUCCCCUCACCGGAGAAAGUCAAAGAACAUACAACUGCGAGAGGCGAGGGGGUGUCGCCCUCAAAGAGGGGGAGGGCUCCACGGGAUGUUGGGCAGGGCUCUCCUGGCAAGAGGUCUAGGACCAACCCCGUAGCUGCUAGGAGGAGUGAGGCGACAACUGAUGGACGAGCAGUUACGAAGAAACAGGCACCAACACCAACCCGUGUUUCUGCUCGAUUGAACAAAGGUGCCCCCAUUGCUGGUGACACCCCUUCCACCAGGUCAUCUCCUCGUACGAUGACGUCCAACACCGGGGAUCCUGUCGUGUUGCCAGACAUGAGAAAGCCAGUCAAGGAGGUGAAGAACACUACUACACGCGUGACCAAGCAUGUCAUUAGGGACCCACUUGAACGCCUUCAUUCAAAGUUGUCGACAUGUGGCAACUCAGAUAUUCAUGAGGCGCCAGUCGACAAAACUGCUGUUGCACCGUCAAUUGUUCCCACUAGCUCUAACGAUGCUGCUGUGAGCCAUGCCACCCCAUCAGCAAGUGUUGAAGUGGACGCCCCCGAGACCAACCUAAGCAAGGAAGAUUCCCGCUCAUCUGACACAGAUUCCAAGCGUGUGCGUGGUGGCACUCAUGUGUCCAUGACAGAAGUGGCUGAGGCGACGGUUCAUAAUGAUAUGCCAUCCACAGGUGAGAGUCUUGGCGUAGAGGUUGCUAAGGCGACCAUUUCGCGAGCUGGUCUUCCACCUAGGCGUCGUAGCCCCCGCAAGCAAUCAAUAGACAUACCCAAUGCACCGGCUGUAGCUAGGAGUAGCAGAGAUGAUUCUGGUUAUGUUCCUGCAUCCACACUGUUACCACCACCUGCCAAAAGCAAUGUUAUGGAGAAACCGGAAGACCGGAGUACAACUGAUCCAGGUGGCAAGACGGGCACGAGUGACGGAGGUGAAUGUCCGGAGCAGACUGCGUCUUUACCCGCAGUGGAGAACCCCAACUUAAAUCUACGCACUUCCAAGCUCCCAGUCAAUGUUGGUGUCCCCUACAGCCCAAACAAGAAGAUUGUCAAGAAAGCUGCGACUGAUACCGCUGACAACAUGCCCCGCCCUAUGAAUAAGCCCGAUGAUUCUGCAGCGGCCGAUUCAGAAAUGUUUGUUGAUAUUUCACCCUUGGAUUCUGCCCCGCAAAUUGUUCGUGGUCUAGCUAGCAUGGCCGCAAUGAUGGCGCAACCAAUGGUCGAGGACAGGAAGGCUGUCAAGGUCACAGAGCCGAUCGUGCAAAGUAUCCUAACCCACUUUUUGAUCCUUGCAGGCACCCCUGAGGAGAUUUCGCCGUCACUUGAUGAAGCUUACCGCAGGAUUGAGGAGGCAACAUUGCAGAGGAGGUCCUCACGAGGUCAGGGGCAAUCAAGUUCCAACGUGCCUGCUGAGACGGUAUCUGAGGAUACCAUUAGAAGUGCCACCCCUGGUUUUGUGAGGCGGCACAGGGUAGUUCACCCACCUCCCGCGGAUGACUACGAGCCCGAAGUCAAGGGCCCAAAGGAGCAGAACCAGUUGCACGAUAUUGUCAAGCAAUUUGGAAACGCGAGGGCCAGCAGCAAGCACAUGAAGGAGCUGAAAGCAACCAAGGUCAUACAAUGCGAAGCGACGUACGUCGACCUGGGUGAUCUUGCCGACUCUGUGAGGCCACUCGGUAAAAUGUCGACGAAUGUAGUUGUAUGUGGGAUUGACUUCAUCAACAGGCAUAUGGAUAUGUCUCCCAACAAAACAAUCAUGCAUUACAGUGUGACCUGCAAAAUAUGGGAUGGUGACUUCCACCACAAAAUCCUAAGGAAGCAUUUUGCUGCGCAUGGUGAAUUCAAGCUCACAAUGAAGAAAUGUGUCCUGUUCCCCAUGUUCCAGGAGCUUGCACCACACGACCCACACGAUAAGUGUGGUCACCACUACGCGGUCUGCCUUGACCUGAAGAACCAAUGUUUUGAGGUGCUUGAUUCAAUGCGUUCGGCAGCUAAUGCAGACCUUUCUACGCAUGAUGAAUACUUCAUCAACAACCUCAAAGAGACAUGGAACCGCCACUACAAACACUCAAAGGUCCAGAUUAGACAUUUUCCAAUUGAGUACGUGGCGCCUACGAAGCAAGGGAACAAGAUGGACUAUGGCUUUCACAUAUUGGAAUACCUUGCAAAGUGGGAAGGUAGACUGGUUCCUGUUGUCACAGUUGCAAUGGUCGUUGAGCUUCGCAAAAUUUACACAUGGAACUGGUUGACGAAUGAAGAUUUCAACACGUGGUCCGGAGCACAUGAGUUCAUAGAGGAAGCUGUCAAUAAAGUCACCAAGAAGUACAAGUGA
rnacentral:rRNA from 1 species